UAAAGACAAUAUGAAUACAUAUAUUUCAUUAUGGAUAAAAUGAAACUAAUUUGGUGUCAUAAGUCUUGGUAUAUUUGUCUAAAAGAUUGGUCGAACUUAGAGAAGUUUGACUUAAGACAAACAUAAAUGUUGUACUCCCUC